rnacentral:rRNA from 1 species
UACGGAGGGUGCAAGCGUUAUCCGGAUUCACUGGGUUUAAAGGGUGCGUAGGCGGCUUUAUAAGUCAUUGGUGAAAGCUCGCAGCUUAACUGUGAAACUGCCAUUGAAACUGUUUAGCUUGAAUGUGGUUGAAGUGGGCGGAAUACAACAUGUAGCGGUGAAAUGCUUAGAUAUGUUUUAGAACACCGAUUGCGAAGGCAGCUCACUAAGCCAAUAUUGACGCUGAGGCACGAAAGCGUGGGUAGCAAACAG